rnacentral:rRNA from 1 species
UUGAACGCUGGCGGCAGGCCUAACACAUGCAAGUCGAACGGUAACAGGAAGCAGCUUGCUGCUUUGCUGACGAGUGGCGGACGGGUGAGUAAUGUCUGGGAAACUGCCUGAUGGAGGGGGAUAACUACUGGAAACGGUAGCUAAUACCGCAUAACGUCGCAAGACCAAAGAGGGGGACCUUCGGGCCUCUUGCCAUCGGAUGUGCCCAGAUGGGAUUAGCUUGUUGGUGGGGUAACGGCUCACCAAGGCGACGAUCCCUAGCUGGUCUGAGAGGAUGACCAGCCACACUGGAACUGAGACACGGUCCAGACUCCUACGGGAGGCAGCAGUGGGGAAUAUUGCACAAUGGGCGCAAGCCUGAUGCAGCCAUGCCGCGUGUAUGAAGAAGGCCUUCGGGUUGUAAAGUACUUUCAGCGGGGAGGAAGGGAGUAAAGUUAAUACCUUUACUCAUUGACGUUACCCGCAGAAGAAGCACCGGCUAACUCCGUGCCAGCAGCCGCGGUAAUACGGAGGGUGCAAGCGUUAAUCGGAAUUACUGGGCGUAAAGCGCACGCAGGCGGUUUGUUAAGUCAGAUGUGAAAUCCCCGGGCUCAACCUGGGAACUGCAUCUGAUACUGGCAAGCUUGAGUCUCGUAGAGGGGGGUAGAAUUCCAGGUGUAGCGGUGAAAUGCGUAGAGAUCUGGAGGAAUACCGGUGGCGAAGGCGGCCCCCUGGACGAAGACUGACGCUCAGGUGCGAAAGCGUGGGGAGCAAACAGGAUUAGAUACCCUGGUAGUCCACGCCGUAAACGAUGUCGACUUGGAGGUUGUGCCCUUGAGGCGUGGCUUCCGGAGCUAACGCGUUAAGUCGACCGCCUGGGGAGUACGGCCGCAAGGUUAAAACUCAAAUGAAUUGACGGGGGCCCGCACAAGCGGUGGAGCAUGUGGUUUAAUUCGAUGCAACGCGAAGAACCUUACCUGGUCUUGACAUCCACAGAACUUUCCAGAGAUGGAUUGGUGCCUUCGGGAACUGUGAGACAGGUGCUGCAUGGCUGUCGUCAGCUCGUGUUGUGAAAUGUUGGGUUAAGUCCCGCAACGAGCGCAACCCUUAUCCUUUGUUGCCAGCGGUCCGGCCGGGAACUCAAAGGAGACUGCCAGUGAUAAACUGGAGGAAGGUGGGGAUGACGUCAAAUCAUCAUGCCCCUUAUGACUUGGGCUACACACGUGCUACAAUGGCGCAUACAAAGAGAAGCGACCUCGCGAGAGCAAGCGGACCUCAUAAAGUGCGUCGUAGUCCGGAUUGGAGUCUGCAACUCGACUCCAUGAAGUCGGAAUCGCUAGUAAUCGUGGAUCAGAAUGCCACGGUGAAUACGUUCCCGGGCCUUGUACACACCGCCCGUCACACCAUGGGAGUGGGUUGCAAAAGAAGUAGGUAGCUUAACCUUCGGGAGGGCGCUUACCACUUUGUGAUUCAUGACUGGGGUG